UUGUUGCAGUUAAAAGCUCGUAGUUGGAUUUCGGAAGGUCCUUAGUAAUCCGCCCCUUCGGGGAGCGGGUUACUGGCCUCCUAUGUUCCUAACGGUCCUCAUCCGCGAGGGUGGGGAAUCAACCGCUAGGAUCGUUUACUUUGAGGAAAUUAGAGUGUUCAAAGCAGGCGUAACUCGCCUCCGAAUACGUUAGCAUGGGAUAAUGGAAUACGACUUCGGUCUUGUUUCGUUGGUUUCGCUUGGCUGAAGUAAUGAUUGAUAGGGACAGUUGGGGGCAUUAGUAUUUAGUUGUCAGAGGUGAAAUUCUAGGAUUUACUAAAGACUGACCAAUGCGAAAGCAUUUGCCAAGGAUGUUUUCAUUAAUCAAGAACGAAAGUAGGGGGAUCGAAGACGAUCAGAUACCGUCGUAGUCUCUACCGUAAACUAUGCCGACCAGGGAUCCGGAGAGUUUGCAUGGAUGACUCCCCGGGCACCUUGUGAGAAAUCAUAAGUGUUUGGGUUUUGGGGGGAGUAUGGUCGCAAGGCUGAAACUUAAAGGAAUUGACGGAAGGGCACCACCAGGAGUGGAACCUGCGGCUUAUUGCCC
rnacentral:rRNA from 1 species